UACGGAGGGGGCUAGCGUUGUUCGGAAUUACUGGGCGUAAAGCGCACGUAGGCGGCUUUGUAAGUUAGAGGUGAAAGCCCGGGGCUCAACUCCGGAAUUGCCUUUAAGACUGCAUCGCUAGAAUUGUGGAGAGGUAAGUGGAAUUCCGAGUGUAGAGGUGAAAUUCGUAGAUAUUCGGAAGAACACCAGUGGCGAAGGCGACUUACUGGACACAUAUUGACGCUGAGGUGCGAAAGCGUGGGAAGCAAACAGG
rnacentral:rRNA from 1 species